UACGUAGGGGGCUAGCGUUGUCCGGAAUCAUUGGGCGUAAAGCGCGUGUAGGCGGCCCGAUAAGUCCGCUGUGAAAGUCCAGGGCUCAACCCUGGGAUGCCGGUGGAUACUGUCGGGCUCGAGUCCGGAAGAGGCAAGUGGAAUUCCUGGUGUAGCGGUGAAAUGCGCAGAUAUCAGGAGGAACACCAAUGGCGAAGGCAGCUCGCUGGGACGUUACUGACACUGAGGCGCGAAAGCGUGGGGAGCGAACAGG
rnacentral:rRNA from 1 species